AUGUUAUUGCUGCUGCUGUCACCUUUACAUGAAAAUAAAAUGUAAGUUAUUUUAUUUCUAUCAAAUAAAGACUAGUCUGCAGUGAUAU
rnacentral:miRNA from 1 species